GUGGGGUGUGGGCCAGGCCCCAGAAAUAGGGCCUGGGCAGCCCCAUGUGCUGAGGAGGAAGUUAGGGCCCCUGCUCCCUGGGCUUGACCCCUA
rnacentral:pre_miRNA from 1 species